rnacentral:rRNA from 1 species
UACGUAGGUGGCAAGCGUUGUCCGGAUUUACUGGGCGUAAAGAGCGCGCAGGCGGUCGUUCAAGUCGCGUGUGAAAGCCCCCCGGCUCAACUGGGGAGGGUCACGCGAUACUGAUCGACUGGAAGGCAGGAGAGGGUAGUGGAAUUCCCGGUGUAGUGGUGAAAUGCGUAGAUAUCGGGAGGAACACCAGUGGCGAAGGCGACUACCUGGCCUGUUCUUGACGCUGAGGCGCGAAAGCUAGGGGAGCAAACGGG